AUUGAACGCUGGCGGCAUGCUUUACACAUGCAAGUCGAACGGUAACAGGUUAAGCUGACGAGUGGCGAACGGGUGAGUAAUGCAUCGGAACGUGCCCGAUCGUGGGGGAUAACGCAGCGAAAGCUGCGCUAAUACCGCAUACGAUCUGAGGAUGAAAGCGGGGGACCGUAAGGCCUCGCGCGAUCGGAGCGGCCGAUGUCAGAUUAGGUAGUUGGUGGGGUAAAGGCUCACCAAGCCAACGAUCUGUAGCUGGUCUGAGAGGACGACCAGCCACACUGGGACUGAGACACGGCCCAGACGCCUACGGGAGGCAGCAGUGGGGAAGUUUGGACAAUGGGCGAAAGCCUGAUCCAGCCAUGCCGCGUGCAGGAUGAAGGCCUUCGGGUUGUAAACUGCUUUUGUACGGAACGAAAAGGUUUGGCCUAAUAAGCUGAGCUCAUGACGGUACCGUAAGAAUAAGCACCGGCUAACUCUGUGCCAGCCGCCGCAGUAA
rnacentral:rRNA from 1 species